GAAAAAAUGAGCUACUUUAAUGUGUAUUGCUUCAUCCACUUCCUGUGCAGAUUGUCAUCUCUGUUUGAGUGCCACUAAACCAUUAGCCUCUGGCCAAUGAAGACUAAUAACCUACCACCCAGGGAAGUAGAGGGAUACUCAAAACGGGCCUGGAUAGUUGCAGACAAGUGAGGUCUUUCCAGGUACUCACUUUCCAAUAUUCUGCCAGGUCAGCUCUGCUCAGAUCUUUUUUUCUGGAUGAAGAUGGCAUUUUGUGUCCAAA